UACAGAGGUCCCAAGCGUUGUUCGGAUUCAUUGGGCGUAAAGGGUGCGUAGGCGGCGCGGUAAGUCGGGUGUGAAAUCUCGGAGCUUAACUCCGAAACUGCAUUCGAUACUGCCGUGCUUGAGGACUGGAGAGGAGACUGGAAUUUACGGUGUAGCGGUGAAAUGCGUAGAUAUCGUAAGGAAGACCAGUGGCGAAGGCGGGUCUCGUGGACAGGUUCCUGACGCUGAGGCACGAAGGCCGGGGAGCAAACAGG
rnacentral:rRNA from 1 species